rnacentral:rRNA from 1 species
CCCCUAGUAACUGCGAGUGAAGCGGGAAAAGCUCAAAUUUGAAAUCUGGCGGUCUCUGGCCGUCCGAGUUGUAAUCUAGAGAAGUGUUACCCGCGCUGGACCGUGUACAAGUCUCCUGGAAUGGAGCGUCAUAGAGGGUGAGAAUCCCGUCUCUGACACGGACUACCAGGGCUUUGUGGUAUGCUCUCAAAGAGUCGAGUUGUUUGGGAAUGCAGCUCAAAAUGGGUGGUAAAUUCCAUCUAAAGCUAAAUAUUGGCGAGAGACCGAUAGCGAACAAGUACCGUGAGGGAAAGAUGAAAAGAACUUUGGAAAGAGAGUUAAACAGUACGUGAAAUUGCUGAAAGGGAAACGCUUGAAGUCAGUCGCGUUGGCCGGGGAUCAGCCAUGCCUGUAAAAAGGCUUGGUGUAUUUUCCGGUUGACGGGUCAGCAUCAAUUUUGAUCGCUGGAAAAAGGUUAGAGGAAUGUGGCAGCUUCGGCUGUGUUAUAGCCUCUGGUCACAUACAGCGGUUGGGAUUGAGGAACUCAGCACGCCGAAAGGCCGGGUUUCGACCACGUUCGUGCUUAGGAUGCUGGCAUAAUGGCUUUAAGCGACCCGUCUUGAAACACGGACCAAGGAGUCUAACAUGCCUGCGAGUGUUUGGGUGGUAAACCCGAGCGCGUAAUGAAAGUGAAAGUUGAGAUCCCUGUCGUGGGGAGCAUCGACGCCCGGACCAGAACUUUUGGGACGGAUCCGCGGUAGAGCAUGUAUGUUGGGACCCGAAAGAUGGUGAACUAUGCCUGAAUAGGGUGAAGCCAGAGGAAACUCUGGUGGAGGCUCGUAGCGAUUCUGACGUGCAAAUCGAUCGUCAAAUUUGGGUAUAGGG